GAUGAACGCUGGCGGCGUGCCUAAUACAUGCAAGUCGAGCGAACAGAUGAGGAGCUUGCUCCUCUGACGUUAGCGGCGGACGGGUGUGUAACACGUGGAUAACCUACCUAUAAGACUGGGAUAACUUCGGGAAACCGGAGCUAAUACCGGAUAAUAUAUUGAACCGCAUGGUUCAAUAGUGAAAGACGGUUUUGCUGUCACUUAUAGAUGGAUCCGCGCCGCAUUAGCUAGUUGGUAAGGUAACGGCUUACCAAGGCAACGAUGCGUAGCCGACCUGAGAGGGUGAUCGGCCACACUGGAACUGAGACACGGUCCAGACUCCUACGGGAGGCAGCAGUAGGGAAUCUUCCGCAAUGGGCGAAAGCUUGACGGAGCAACGCCGCGUGAGUGAUGAAGGUCUUCGGAUCGUAAAACUCUGUUAUUAGGGAAGAACAAAUGUGUAAGUAACUAUGCACGUCUUGACGGUACCUAAUCAGAAAGCCACGGCUAACUACGUG
rnacentral:rRNA from 1 species